GACGAACGCUGGCGGCGUGCUUAACACAUGCAAGUCGAACGGAAAGGCCCUGCUUUUGUGGGGUGCUCGAGUGGCGAACGGGUGAGUAACACGUGAGUAACCUGCCCUUGACUUUGGGAUAACUUCAGGAAACUGGGGCUAAUACCGGAUAGGAGCUCCUGCUGCAUGGUGGGGGUUGGAAAGUUUCGGCGGUUGGGGAUGGACUCGCGGCUUAUCAGCUUGUUGGUGGGGUAGUGGCUUACCAAGGCUUUGACGGUAGCCGGCCUGGGAGGGUGACCGGCCACAUUGGGACUGAGAUACGGCCCAGACUCCUACGGGAGGCAGCAGUGGGGAAUAUUGCACAAUGGGCGGAAGCCUGAUGCAGCAACGCCGCGUGCGGGAUGAUGGCCUUCGGGUUGUAAACCGCUUUCGCCUGUGACGAAGCGUGAGUGACGGUAAUGGGUAAAGAAGCACCGGCUAACUACGUG
rnacentral:rRNA from 1 species